GACGAACGCUGGCGGCGUGCCUAAUACAUGCAAGUCGAACGCUUCUUUCCUCCCGAGUGCUUGCUUUCAAUUGGUGAGAAGAGUGGCGGACGGGUGAGUAACACGUGCGUAAACUCCCCAUCAGAGGGGGAUAACACUUGGAAACAGCUGCUAAUACCGCAUAACAGUUUAUGCCGCAUGGCAUAAGCGUUUCAGGCGCUUUCGGGUGUCGCUCCUGGAUGGAUCCGCGGUGCAUUAGGUAGUUGGUGAGGUAACGGCUUACCAAGACAACGAUGCAUAGCCGACCUGAGAGGGUGAUCGGCCACACUGGGACUGAGACACGGCCCAGACUCCUACGGGAGGCAGCAGUAGGGAAUCUUCGACAAUGGGCGAAAGCCUGACCGAGCAACGCCGCGUGAGUGAAGAAGGUUUUCGGAUCGUAAAACUCUGUUGUUAGAGAAGAACAGGGAGGUUAGUAACUGAACGUCCCCUGACGGUAUCUAACCAGAAAGCGACGGCUAACUACGUG
rnacentral:rRNA from 1 species